GGAUUAGAUACCCUGGUAGUCCACGCCGUAAACGAUGUCAACUAGCUGUCUGUGAACUUGAUUCGUGGGUAGCGUAGCUAACGCGCUAAGUUGACCGCCUGGGGAGUACGGCCGCAAGGUUAAAACUCAAAUGAAUUGACGGGGGCCCGCACAAGCGGUGGAGCAUGUGGUUUAAUUCGAUGCAACGCGAAGAACCUUACCAUCCCUUGACAUCCAGAGAAUUAUUCAGAGAUGAAUUUGUGCCUUCGGGAACUCUGAGACAGGUGCUGCAUGGCUGUCGUCAGCUCGUGCCG
rnacentral:rRNA from 1 species